AUUGAACGCUGGCGGCAUGCCUUACACAUGCAAGUCGAACGGCAGCACGGGAGCAAUCCUGGUGGCGAGUGGCGAACGGGUGAGUAAUAUAUCGGAACGUGCCCAGUCGUGGGGGAUAACGCAGCGAAAGCUGUGCUAAUACCGCAUACGAUCUAUGGAUGAAAGCGGGGGAUCGCAAGACCUCGCGCGAUUGGAGCGGCCGAUAUCAGAUUAGCUAGUUGGUGAGGUAAAGGCUCACCAAGGCGACGAUCUGUAGCUGGUCUGAGAGGACGACCAGCCACACUGGAACUGAGACACGGUCCAGACUCCUACGGGAGGCGGCAGUGGGGAAUUUUGGACAAUGGGCGCAAGCCUGAUCCAGCAAUGCCGCGUGCAGGAUGAAGGCCUUCGGGUUGUAAACUGCUUUUGUACGGAACGAAACGGUGAGCUCUAAUACAGUUUGCUAAUGACGGUACCGUAAGAAUAAGCACCGGCUAACUACGUGCCAGCAGCCGCAGUAA
rnacentral:rRNA from 1 species